rnacentral:rRNA from 1 species
GGGAUACAGCAGUAAUUAAAAUUAAGCAAUAAACGAAAGUUUGACUAAGUUAUGCAACAUUAUAUAGGGUUGGUAAAUUUCGUGCCAGCCACCGCGGUCAUACGAUUAACCCUAAUUAAUAAAGCCCGGCGUAAAGAGUGUUAAAAUUACAAAAACAAUAAGAUUAAAUUUUACCUAAGUCGUAAAAAACAACAGAUAAAAAUAAAAUCAUAAACGAAAGUAAUCUUAAUAAAUCUGAAUACACUAAAGCUAAGACCCAAACUGGGAUUAGAUACCCCACUAUGCUUAGCCAUAAACAAAGAUAUUUAAUAACAAAAAUUUUCGCCAGAGUACUACUAGCAACAGCUUAAAACUCAAAGGACUUGGCGGUGCUUUAAACCCACCUAGAGGAGCCUGUUCUAUAAUCGAUAAACCCCGAUAUACCUUACCACUUCUUGCUAAUCCAGUCUAUAUACCGCCAUCUCCAGCAAACCCCAACAGGGAUUAAAAGUAAGCACAACUAUGCUCGUAAAAACGUUAGGUCAAGGUGUAACUAAUGAAGUGGAAAGCAAUGGGCUACAUUUUCUUCUUCCAAGAAAACAACAACAGUAAUCUUUAUGAAAUUAAAGAUUUAAGGAGGAUUUAGUAGUAAAUUAAGAAUAGAGAGCUUAAUUGAAUUAGGCAAUAAAGCACGCACACAC